GCUGGGCGUGGUGGCGCACGCCUGUAGUCCCAGUUACUCGGGAGGCUGAGGCAGGAGAAUUGCUUGAACCCGGGAGGUUGUAGUGAGCUGAGAUCGCGCCACUGCACUCCAGCCUGGGUGACAGAGCGAGACUCUGUCUCAA
rnacentral:SRP_RNA from 1 species